rnacentral:rRNA from 1 species
GGCGACUGAAAUGUCAAAAGCUCAGCAUGUGAAUCAGCRUUUAUUGUCUAAAUGCUGAAUUGUGGUCUUAGGAUUCUUGCAACACUUGGUCCAGUCCAUGUUUUUUGGAAUAAAAUAGCAAAGAGGGUGAAACUCCUGUUUGUCUGGCCGUACGAAGCAAGAAUCAUUGAGUCGAGUUGUUUGGGAUUGCAGCUCAAAUGCGGUGGUAAAUUCCAUCUCAAGCUAAAUAUUGGCGGGAGACCGAUAGAGUACAAGUACCGUGAGGGAAAGAUGCAAAGAACUUUGAAAAGAGAGUGAAAGAGUACCUGAAAUUGCUGAAAAGGAAGCGAACGAAGCUAGUGAACGCUGCGUCAUACUUUCCACAUUGCUUGCAAUUUGGACGCUGUGGCCGGCCGAGUUGGGCUUGAUUGC